UACAGAGGAUGCAAGCGUUAUCCGGAAUGAUUGGGCGUAAAGCGUCCGCAGGUGGUUUUGUAAGUCUGCUGUUAAAGCGUUAGGCUCAACCUAAUAAGGGCAGUGGAAACUAUGAGACUAGAGUAUGUUAGGGGUAGAGGGAAUUCCCAGUGUAGCGGUGAAAUGCGUAGAGAUCAGGAAGAACACCGGUGGCGAAAGCGCUCUGCUGGACCUUAACUGACACUGAGGGACGAAAGCUAGGGGAGCGAAUGGG
rnacentral:rRNA from 1 species